UACAUAGGAUGCAAGCGUUAUCCGGAGUCACUGGGCGUAAAGGGUUCGCAGGCGGGUCUAUAAGUCUGUUUUCAAAUUCUUUCGCUCAACGAAAGGCAGGGAAUAGAUACUGUAGAUCUAGAGGUUUUUGGAGGGUAAUGGAAUUCCAGGUGGAGCGGUGAAAUGUGUUGAUAUCUGGAAGAAUGCCGAAAGCGAAAGCAGUUACCUACAAUUUACCUGACGGUCAGGAACGAAAGCUUGGGGAGCAAAUGGG
rnacentral:rRNA from 1 species